rnacentral:rRNA from 1 species
GAUUAUUGGUGAUAAAAGGUAAAAUUGAGUUGUUACUAUAUAAUUCAUAUUAAUUUAGGCCGAAGCUAGAAAAGUUUAGAUAAAAACUAGGAUUAGAUACCCUAUUAUUCUAGGCUGAAAAUUGAAAUAUUAAAUUAGUAAUAGUUAGUUACUUAAAAAUUAAAAAAUUUGGCGGUGAUUUAAUCUUUCCAGAGGAACUUGUUUCUUGAUCGAUAUUCCCCGUAAAAUCUUACUUAUUUUUGUUAACAAUCAGUUUGUAUACCAUCAUUAGCAGGUAAUUUUAAGAGAACAAAUUACUAAAUAUUAAUUGUUUGUAAAAAUUAGAUCAUGGUGCAGCAUAUAAAUAAGUUGAAAUGAGUUACAAUAAAUUGUUUUAAACGGAGCAGUAGAAGAAGUGUUGCUGUGAAGGAGGAUUUGGUUGUAUAAUAAUGUUAAUAAGUUUAUUAGACAUAAGUUCUAAAUCAUGUACAUAUCGCCCGUCGCUUUCGU